rnacentral:rRNA from 1 species
UACGGAGGGAGCUAGCGUUGUUCGGAAUUACUGGGCGUAAAGCGCGCGUAGGCGGUUUUUCAAGUCAGUGGUGAAAGCCCGGGGCUCAACCCCGGAAUAGCCUUUGAGACUGGAUUGCUAGAAUCUUGGAGAGGCGAGUGGAAUUCCGAGUGUAGAGGUGAAAUUCGUAGAUAUUCGGAAGAACACCAGUGGCGAAGGCGGCUCGCUGGACAAGUAUUGACGCUGAGGUGCGAAAGCGUGGGGAGCAAACAGG